CAGCCGCCGCGGUAAUACGAAGGGGGCUAGCGUUGCUCGGAAUGACUGGGCGUAAAGGGCGCGUAGGCGGCGAUCAAAGUCAGGCGUGAAAUUCCUGGGCUCAACCUGGGGGCUGCGCUUGAUACUUGGUUGCUUGAGUGGGGAAGAGGGUCGUGGAAUUCCCAGUGUAGAGGUGAAAUUCGUAGAUAUUGGGAAGAACACCGGUGGCGAAGGCGGCGACCUGGUCCUUGACUGACGCUGAGGCGCGAAAGCGUGGGGAGCAAACAGGAUUAGAUACCCCUGUAGUCCCUGUCUCUUAUAC
rnacentral:rRNA from 1 species